AUGCCUAGGCGCUGAGAGGCGAUGAAGGACGUGGGUGGCUGCGAAAUUUCCGGGGAGUUGCCAACCGAACAUUGAUCCGGAAGUGUCCGAAUGGGGAAACCCGGCGGGUGUAAUGACCCGUCACUCCGUCCUGAAUACAGUAGGGGCGGAAGAGCAAACCGAGGGGAAGUGAAACAUCUCAGUACCCUGAGGAAAAGAAACAAUGAGUGAUUCUCGGAGUAGUGGCGAGCGAAACGGGAAAAUAAGCCUAAACCGAUUCGACGAAAGUCGCGUCGGGGUUGCGGGGUCCGCGGUAGGACCUCGGAUUGCUAACGGAACUGCCUGGAAAGGCAGACCAAAGAGCGUGAUAGUCGCGUACGUGAAAGCGAACUGAGGCCGAGCGGGGUACCCAAGUAGGACGGGACACGUGCAAUCCUGUCUGAAUCUGCCAGGACCAUCUGGUAAGGCUAAAUACUACUCAGCGACCGAUAGUGAACAAGUACCGCGAGGGG
rnacentral:rRNA from 1 species